UAGGGAAUAUUGCACAAUGGGCGAAAGCCUGAUGCAGCAACGCCGCGUGCACGAUGAAGGCCUUCGGGUCGUAAAGUGCUUUUCUGGGAGAUGAGAAAGGACAGUAUCCCAGGAAUAAGUCUCGGCUAACUACGUGCCAGCAGCCGCGGUAAAACGUAGGAGGCGAGCGUUAUCCGGAUUCACUGGGCGUAAAGCGCGUGCAGGUGGCUUGGUAAGUUAGGCGUGAAAUCUCCCGGCUCAACUGGGAGAGGUCGUCUAAUACUACCGGGCUAGAGAACAGAAGAGGAAGAUGGAAUUCCCGGUGUAGUGGUGAAAUGCGUAGAUAUCGGGAGGAACACCAGUGGCGAAGGCGAUCUUCUGGUCUGUUUCUGACACUCAGACGCGACAGCUAGGGUAGUAAACGGGAUUAGAGACCCCGGUAAGUCCUAGCCGUAAACGAUGUGAACUUGGCGUUGGUGGGUUAAACU
rnacentral:rRNA from 1 species